rnacentral:rRNA from 1 species
UAGGGAAUCUUCGGCAAUGGGGGCAACCCUGACCGAGCAACGCCGCGUGAGUGAAGAAGGUUUUCGGAUCGUAAAGCUCUGUUGUAAGUCAAGAACGGGUGUGAGAGUGGAAAGUUCACACUGUGACGGUAGCUUACCAGAAAGGGACGGCUAACUACGUGCCAGCAGCCGCGGUAAUACGUAGGUCCCGAGCGUUGUCCGGAUUUAUUGGGCGUAAAGCGAGCGCAGGCGGUUUGAUAAGUCUGAAGUUAAAGGCUGUGGCUCAACCAUAGUUCGCUUUGGAAACUGUCAAACUUGAGUGCAGGAAGGGGAGAGUGGAAUUCCAUGUGUAGCG